AGGGUUCGAUUCUGGCUCAGGAUGAACGCUAGCUACAGGCUUAACACAUGCAAGUCGAGGGGCAUCAGGAUUUGUGCGUUGCACAGAUUGCUGGCGACCGGCGCACGGGUGAGUAACGCGUAUCCACCGUUCCCUUAGUAGAGGAUAGCCCGGCGAAAGUCGGAUUAAUACUCUAUGUUGGUUCAAUGCGGACAUCUAAGUUGAACCAAAGGUUUACCGCUAAGGGAUGGGGGAUGCGUCUGAUUAGGUAGUAGGCGGGGUAACGGCCCACCUAGCCGACGAUCAGUAGGGUUCUGAGAGGAAGGUCCCCCACAUUGGAACUGAGACACGGCCCAAACUCCAACGGGAGGCAGCAGUGAGGAAUAUUGGUCAAUGGGCGCGAGGCCUGAACCAGCCAAGUAGCGUUGCAGGAUGACGGCCCUAUGGGUUGUAAACUGCUUUUAUGCGGGAUAAAGUGCACCACGUGUGGUGUUUUGUAGGUACCGCAUGAAUAAGGACCGGCUAAUUCCGUGCCAGCCGCGGC
rnacentral:rRNA from 1 species